rnacentral:rRNA from 1 species
UACGGGGGGGGGGCAAGCGUUGUUCGGAAUUACUGGGCGUAAAGGGCUCGUAGGCGGCCAACUAAGUCAGACGUGAAAUCCCUCAGCUUAACUGGGGAACUGCGUCUGAUACUGGAUGGCUUGGAUUUGGGAGAGGGAUGCGGAAUUCCAGGUGUAGCGGUGAAAUGCGUAGAUAUCUGGAGGAACACCGGUGGCGAAGGCGGCAUCCUGGACCAAUAUUGACGCUGAGGAGCGAAAGCCAGGGGAGCAAACGGG